rnacentral:tRNA from 1 species
GGUGGCUCAGUGGUAGUAGAGUGCUUGCCUUUCACGCAUGAGGCCCUGGGUUCGAUUCCUCAGCACCA